rnacentral:rRNA from 1 species
AGUGAACGCUGGCGGUAGGCCUAACACAUGCAAGUCGAACGGCAGCACAGGAGAGCUUGCUCUCUGGGUGGCGAGUGGCGGACGGGUGAGGAAUACAUCGGAAUCUACUCUGUCGUGAGGGAUAACGUAGGGAAACUUAGGCUAAUACCGCAUACGACCUACGGGUGAAAGCAGGGGAUCUUCGGACCUUGCGCGAUUGAAUGAGCCGAUGUCGGAUUAGCUAGUUGGCGGGGUAAAGGCCCCCCAAGGCGACGAUCCGUAGCUGGUCUGAGAGGAUGAACAGGCACACUGGAACUGAGACACGGUCCAGACUCCUACGGGAGGCAGCAGUGGGGAAUAUUGGACAAUGGGCGCAAGCCUGAUCCAGCCAUACCGCGUGGGUGAAGAAGGCCUUCGGGUUGUAAAGCCCUUUUGUUGGGAAAGAAAUCCAGCUGGCUAAUACCCGGUUGGGAUGACGGUACCAAAGAAUAAGCACCGGCUAACUUCGUGCCAGCAGCCGCCGUAA